CCUACGGGAGGCAGCAGUGGGGAAUCUUGCGCAAUGGGCGAAAGCCUGACGCAGCCAUGCCGCGUGAAUGAUGAAGGUCUUAGGAUUGUAAAAUUCUUUCACCGAGGACGAUAAUGACGGUACUCGGAGAAGAAGCCCCGGCUAACUUCGUGCCAGCAGCCGCGGUAAUACGAAGGGGGCUAGCGUUGCUCGGAAUUACUGGGCGUAAAGGGAGCGUAGGCGGAUAGUUUAGUCAGAGGUGAAAGCCCAGGGCUCAACCUUGGAAUUGCCUUUGAUACUGGCUAUCUUGAGUACGGAAGAGGUAUGUGGAACUCCGAGUGUAGAGGUGAAAUUCGUAGAUAUUCGGAAGAACACCAGUGGCGAAGGCGACAUACUGGUCCGUUACUGACGCUGAGGCUCGAAAGCGUGGGGAGCAAACAGGAUUAGAUACCCUGGUAGUCCACGCUGUAAACGAUGAGUGCUAGUUGUCGGCAUGCAUGCAUGUCGGUGACGCAGCUAACGACAUAAGACACUCCGCCGUCGGGGUAGGUACGGUCGGCGAAGUAAGUUAAAACGUUAAAAGUUAGUAAGUUAGUUACGGCGUUGAGACGUGCCGACGGACGACGACGAGGGAGGAGG
rnacentral:rRNA from 1 species